GUGGGGAAUAUUGGACAAUGGGCGCAAGCCUGAUCCAGCCAUGCCGCGUGAGUGAUGAAGGCCCUAGGGUUGUAAAGCUCUUUCACCGGUGAAGAUAAUGACGGUAACCGGAGAAGAAGCCCCGGCUAACUUCGUGCCAGCAGCCGCGGUAAUACGAAGGGGGCUAGCGUUGUUCGGAAUUACUGGGCGUAAAGCGCACGUAGGCGGACAUUUAAGUCAGGGGUGAAAUCGCGGGGCUCAACCCCGGAACUGCCUUUGAUACUGGGUGUCUCGAGUCCGGAAGAGGUGAGUGGAAGUCCGAGUGUAGAGGUGAAAUUCGUAGAUAUUCGGAGGAACACCAGUGGCGAAGGCGGCUCACUGGUCCGGUACUGACGCUGAGGUGCGAAAGCGUGGGGAGCAAACAGGAUUAGAAACCCUUGUAGUCC
rnacentral:rRNA from 1 species